rnacentral:rRNA from 1 species
CCGGCACGGUGGAGUAACGCGUAUGCAACUUGCCUAUCAGAGGGGGAUAACCCGGCGAAAGUCGGACUAAUACCGCAUGAAGCAGGGAUCCCGCAUGGGAAUAUUUGCUAAAGAUUCAUCGCUGAUAGAUAGGCAUGCGUUCCAUUAGGCAGUUGGCGGGGUAACGGCCCACCAAACCGACGAUGGAUAGGGGUUCUGAGAGGAAGGUCCCCCACAUUGGUACUGAGACACGGACCAA